rnacentral:misc_RNA from 1 species
GAUGAAGAACGUAGCGAAAUGCGAUAAGUAAUGUGAAUUGCAGAAUUCAGUGAAUCAUCGAAUCUUUGAACGCACAUUGCGCCCCUUGGUAUUCCAUGGGGCAUGCCUGUUCGAGCGUCAUUUGUACCCUCAAGCUUUGCUUGGUGUUGGGUGUUUGUCCCGCGUUGCGCGUGGACUCGCCUUAAAGCGAUUGGCAGCCGGCAUAUUGGCCUUGGAGCGCAGCACAUUUUGCGCUUCUAGUCAUGAAUGUUGGCGUCCAUUAAGCCUAUACAUUUGCUCUUGACCUCGGAUCAGGGAGGGAUACCCGCUGAACUUAAGCAUAUCAAUAAGCGGAGGA